CAACAUUUAUCUGUAUACUAAUUAGCCUAAAUAGAAGUUUAUUUAAUAAACUUGAUUUCCAUGAAUCGUAAACAAAACACAUCAACGUAUAUAAAUCAUUCCGUUAAGCCCAUCCAAACGCCCCCGUUAUCUGCAAGGCGAACCAAUUCUACAGUACGGUUCUCAUCAUUCCCGAAGAUGCAUCUGAACGUCGCUGUUUUGCUGGUUCCUGUGUUUGCUGCUUUUUGCAAAG